AACGCGAAGAACCUUACCAAGGCUUGACAUGGACUAGUAAAGCGCAGAGAUGCGUUCCCCUCUUGAGGCUGGUUCACAGGUGGUGCAUGGUUGUCGUCAGCUCGUGUCGUGAGAUGUUGGGUUAAGUCCCGCAACGAGCGCAACCCUCGUUCUAUGUUGCCAGCGCGUGAUGGCGGGGACUCAUAGGAGACUGCCGGGGUCAACUCGGAGGAAGGUGGGGACGACGUCAAAUCAUCAUGCCCCUUAUGUCUUGGGCUUCACGCAUGCUACAAUGGCCGGUACAAAGGGUUGCGAUACUGUGAGGUGGAGCUAAUCCCAAAAAGCCGGUCUCAGUUCGGAUUGGGGUCUGCAACUCGACCCCAUGAAGUCGGAGUCGCUAGUAAUCGCAGAUCAGCAACGCUGCGGUGAAUACGUUCCCGGGCCUUGUACACACCGCGAGC
rnacentral:rRNA from 1 species